GCAAGUCGAGCGCUCACUUCGGUGGGAGCGGCGGACGGGUUAGUAACGCGUGGGAAUAUACCCAAAGGUAGGGAAUAGCCUCUGGAAACGGAGAGUAAUACCCUAUGUGCCCUUCGGGGGAAAGAUUUAUCGCCUUUGGAUUAGCCCGCGUUGGAUUAGGGAGUUGGGGAGGUAAUGGAGCACCAAGCCUACGAUCCAGAGCUGGUUGGAGAGGAUGAUC
rnacentral:rRNA from 1 species